rnacentral:rRNA from 1 species
AUGCGGGUGAGCAGUCCUGAUGGUUUCGGUGCAGCUGCUCUAGCUUGUAUCGCCACCACGAUGGUGGUCGUCGCCGAGCACUUGCCUAAGGUCAUCAAAAGGCAGGUGUACUACGGAUCCGAAUCGUCCUGUCAGGAAAGCAAUCUGUCACCAGAUCUGGAGCAUGACUCUAGACUCCCACAACACGAGUUCGACUCCGAGUUUUGCUCCACUGAGAAGUACCAAAAGCUGAGUUGUGUGCAUGGGCACACUCCUGCUCGACGUGUAUGCAUGGAGGGAUUCUACAUUGGCAGACGGUUUCUCAGUUGCCCCUUAGAGGGAUAUGAGGCUUGUGCCUUUGUUAACUGGCUGGAUGAAGAACGGCAUGGCAGGGCUCGGAGUGUUAUCACCAAGUUCAUAGAAGAUAACGUUAAGCUGAAGAAGAAACUGGCUGAUCUGGAAUGUACAUUCAGUACGAUGAAGCAAGAAAGAAUUAAUCACAAGCAACAGAUGAAAGCAAGAGACAAGAAGGAACUAGCAUGUGUAGUUGUGGUUGUCACAUUAGCCAUGUUCUAUGCGCUGUUUGCAAUAAUGAUUGGGGGUUUUGUUUGA